rnacentral:rRNA from 1 species
CAACGAUGAAGAGUUUGAUCCUGGCUCAGGAUGAACGCUAGCGGCAGGCCUAACACAUGCAAGUCGAGGGGCAGCAUAGAUUGCUUGCAAUCUGAUGGCGACCGGCGCACGGGUGCGCACCGCGUAUGGAACCUGCCUUUUGCAGGGGAAUAGCCCAGGGAAACUUGGAUUAAUGCCCCGUAGUACCCUUAUGCAGCAUUGCAUUUUGGUUAAAGCCUUCGGGCGGCAAGAGAUGGCCAUGCGUCCCAUUAGCUAGAUGGUAAGGUAACGGCUUACCAUGGCUACGAUGGGUAGGGGCCCUGAGAGGGGGAUCCCCCACACUGGUACUGAGACACGGACCAGACUCCUACGGGAGGCAGCAGUGAGGAAUAUUGGA